rnacentral:rRNA from 1 species
CAAAACGACUCUCGGCAACGGAUAUCUCGGCUCUCGCAUCGAUGAAGAACGUAGCGAAAUGCGAUACUUGGUGUGAAUUGCAGAAUCCCGUGAACCAUCGAGUCUUUGAACGCAAGUUGCGCCCAAAGCCAUCAGGCCUAGGGCACGUCUGCCUGGGCGUCACACACC